GAAUCUUGCGCAAUGGGCGAAAGCCUGACGCAGCAACGCCGCGUGCGGGAUGAAGGCCUUCGGGUUGUAAACCGCUUUCAGCAGGGACGAAAUUGACGGUACCUGCAGAAGAAGCCCCGGCCAACUACGUGCCAGCAGCCGCGGUAACACGUAGGGGGCGAGCGUUGUCCGGAUUUACUGGGCGUAAAGAGCUCGUAGGCGGCUCACUAAGUCGGGUGUGAAACCUCCAGGCUCAACCUGGAGACGCCACCUGAUACUGGUGUGGCUAGAGUCCGGUAGGGGAGUGUGGAACUCCUGGUGUAGCGGUGAAAUGCGCAGAUAUCAGGAAGAACACCAGCGGCGAAGGCGGCACUCUGGGCCGGUACUGACGCUGAGGAGCGAAAGCGUGGGUAGCAAACAG
rnacentral:rRNA from 1 species